CCGCCGUCGUAGGUGGCGGCCAGAUGGCUCCAGGUGCCCUGCGGCAACGCGGAGGUGCCGUCGGCGUUCCAGUCGCCGCUGGUGGAC
rnacentral:tRNA from 1 species